rnacentral:rRNA from 1 species
UGGGGAAUUUUGGACAAUGGGCGCAAGCCUGAUCCAGCAAUGCCGCGUGAGUGAAGAAGGCCCUCGGGUUGUAAAGCUCUUUUGUCAGGGAAGAAAAGGUGAUCUCUAAUACAGGUCACUCAUGACGGUACCUGAAGAAUAAGCACCGGCUAACUACGUGCCAGCAGCCGCGGUAAUACGUAGGGUGCAAGCGUUAAUCGGAAUUACUGGGCGUAAAGCGUGCGCAGGCGGUUAUAUAAGUCAGAUGUGAAAUCCCCGGGCUCAACCUGGGAGCUGCAUUUGGGACUGUAUGGCUAGAGUGUGUCAGAGGGGGGUAGAAUUCCACGUGUAGCAGUGAAAUGCGUAGAUAUGUGGUGGAAUACCGAUGGCGAAGGCAGCCCCCUGGGAUAACACUGACGCUCAUGCACGAAAGCGUGGGGAGCAAACA